GCUGGGUGUGGUGAUGCACACCUGUAAUCCCAGCUGCCUAGGAGGCUGAGGCAAGAGGGUCACAAGUUUGAGGCCAGCCUCAAAAACUUAGGGAGUCAUUGUCUCAA
rnacentral:sRNA from 1 species